AUAUCAAUAAGCGGAGGAAAAGAAACCAACAGGGAUUGCCUCAGUACGGCGAGUGAAGCGGCAACAGCUCAAAUUUGAAAUCUGGCCCCCUCGGGGUCCGAGUUGUAAUUUGCAGAGGAAGCUUCUGGCGCGGUGCCGUCCGAGUCCCCUGGAACGGGGCGCCAUAGAGGGUGAGAGCCCCGUAUGGAUGGAUGCCUAGCCCGUGUGAAGCUCCUUCGACGAGUCGAGUAGUUUGGGAAUGCUGCUCAAAUGGGAGGUAAAU
rnacentral:rRNA from 1 species